rnacentral:rRNA from 1 species
GACGAACGCUGGCGGCGUGCUUAACACAUGCAAGUCGAACGCUGAAGCUCAGCUUUUGUUGGGUGGAUGAGUGGCGAACGGGUGAGUAACACGUGAGUAACCUGCCCCCUUCUUUGGGAUAACGCCCGGAAACGGGUGCUAAUACUGGAUAUUCACUGGUCUUCGCAUGGGGGUUGGUGGAAAGGGUUUUUCUGGUGGGGGAUGGGCUCGCGGCCUAUUAGCUUGUUGGUGGGGUGAUGGCCUACCAAGGCUUUGACGGGUAGCCGGCCUGAGAGGGUGACCGGUCACAUUGGGACUGAGAUACGGCCCAGACUCCUACGGGAGGCAGCAGUGGGGAAUAUUGCACAAUGGGCGCAAGCCUGAUGCAGCGACGCCGCGUGAGGGAUGGAGGCCUUCGGGUUGUGAACCUCUUUCGCUCAUGGUCAAGCCGCAACAAUGGUUGUGGUGAGGGUAGUGGGUAAAGAAGCGCCGGCUAACUACGUG